UCCCUGGUGGUCCAGUGGCUAAGACUCCAUGCUCUCAAUGCAGGAGGCCUGGGUUUGAUCCCUAGUCAGGGAG
rnacentral:tRNA from 1 species